rnacentral:rRNA from 1 species
GACAGAGGUGCCGAGCGUUAGGCGGAAUCACUGGGCUUAAAGCGUGUGUAGGCGGGUCCGUAAGUACCUUGUGAAAUCCCACGGCUCAACCGUGGAACUGCUCGGUAUACUGCGGGUCUUGAGCUGUCUAGGGGCGACCGGAACAAACGGUGGAGCGGUGAAAUGCGUAGAUAUCAGGAGGAACACCGGUGGCGAAGGCGGUGGUCUGGGCCGGCACUGACGCUGAGGAGCGAAAGCGUGGGUAGCAAACAGG